rnacentral:rRNA from 1 species
GAUGAACGCUGGCGGCGUGCCUAACACAUGCAAGUCGAGCGAUUCUCUUCGGAGAAGAGCGGCGGACGGGUGAGUAACGCGUGGGUAACCUGCCCUGUACACACGGAUAACAUACCGAAAGGUAUGCUAAUACGAGAUAAUAUACUUUUAUCGCAUGGUAGAAGUAUCAAAGCUUUUGCGGUACAGGAUGGACCCGCGUCUGAUUAGCUAGUUGGUAAGGUAACGGCUUACCAAGGCGACGAUCAGUAGCAGACCUGAGAGGGUGAUCGGCCACAUGGGAACUGAGACACGGUCCAAACUCCUACGGGAGGCAGCAGUGGGGGAUAUUGCACAAUGGGCGAAAGCCUGAUGCAGCAACGCCGCGUGAGCGAUGAAGGCCUUCGGGUCGUAAAGCUCUGUCCUCAAGGAAGAUAAUGACGGUACUUGAGGAGGAAGCCCCGGCUAACUACGUGCCAGCCGCCGCCGUAAAAC